AGGUGAAAAGCACUUCGAACAGAAGAGUGAAAUAGUCCCUGAACCCAUACGCCUACAAGCAGUCGGAGCCGCUUCGUGCGGUGACGGCGUGCCUUUUGCAUAAUGAGCCUACGAGUUACUCAUCACCAGCGAGGUUAAGUACUUCAGGUACGUAAGCCGAAGCGAAAGCGAGUCUGAAUAGGGCGUCAAGUUGGUGGUGGUAGACGCGAAACCUUAGUGAUCUACCCAUGGGCAGGGUGAAGGUUUGGUAACACAAACUGGAGGCCCGAACCGGUAAACGUUGAAAAGUUUUCGGAUGACCUGUGGGUAGGGGUGAAAGGCCAAUCAAACUGGGAAAUAGCUCGUACUCUCCGAAAUGCAUUUAGGUGCAGCCUCUGUUGUUUUGUUCUAGAGGUAGAGCUACUGAUUGGAUGCGAGGGCUUCACCGCCUAUCAAAUCCGGCCAAACUCCGAAUGCUAGAACAUGAAGACAGGGAGUGAGCCAGCGGGUGCUAAGGUCCGUUGACGAAAGAGGGAGAACUCAGACCAUCAGCUAAGGUCCCCAAUUAUAUGCUAAGUUGGAAUAAAAACGGGGUGGGACUGCUUAGACAGCUAGGAUGUUGGCUUGGAAGCAGCCAUUCAUUUAAAGAGUGCGUAACAGCUCACUAGUCGAGCGGUCCUGCAUGGAUAAUACGCGGGCAUAAGCAUAUAACCGAAGCUAUGGGAUUGUAGAUGAUACAAUCGGUAGGAGAGCAUUCCAUUCAGCAUAGAAGCAGUACCGUGAGGUAUUGUGGAGCGGAUGGAAAAGCAAAUGUAGGCAUAAGUAACGAUAAUGCGGGUGAGAACCCCGCACGCCGAAAGAUCAAGGAUUCCCCGGCAAUGUCAAUCAUCCGGGGGUAAGUCGGAUCCUAAGGGUAAGCCGAGUGGCGAUCCCGAUGGCAAACAGGUUAAUAUUCCUGUACUGAUCAUAACUGCGAUGCAGCGACGCAGAGGUGACACUGCUGCGUACUGACGGAAUAGUACGUUGAAACCCGUAUUCUUUGAUACCGGUAGUGAAGCACGCCGGUAGAGAUGAAAGGUGAUAGUACCGCAAUGCUUCGGUUGCGCGGAUAACGCAGGUAAGCUGACUGCCAAGAAAACCUGCUAAGCUUCAGGUAAUGAUCAUCCGUACUGUAAACGGACACACGUGAUCAGGUAGAAAAUACUAAGGCGCUCGAGAGAUUCAUGGUUAAGGAACUAGGCAAAAUGGUCCUGUAACUUCGGGAUAAAGGACGCUCUUGUGAAAGAGCCGCAGAUAAUAGGCCCAGGCGACUGUUUACCAAAAACACAUGGCUAUGCUAAUUCGCAAGAAGAUGUAUAUGGCCUGACACCUGCCCGGUGCCGGAAGGUUAAGAGGAGAGCUCAGAGGUAACUCGAAGGUUUGAAUUGAAGCCCCGGUAAACGGCGGCCGUAACUAUAACGGUCCUAAGGUAGCGAAAUUCCUUGUCGGGUAAGUUCCGACCUGCACGAAUGGUGUAACGAUCUGGGUACUGUCUCAACCAUGAGCUCGGUGAAAUUGUAGUUCCGGUGAAGAUGCCGGAUACCCGCAACGGGACGGAAAGACCCCGUGAACCUUUACUGCAGCUUUGCAUUGAUUUUGGGUAACAGAUGUGUAGGAUAGGUCGGAGGCUUUGAUGCUGCGUCGUCAGGCGUAGAGUAGCCGUCGUUGAAAUACGACCCUUUUGUUAUCUGAGGUCUAAUCCCGUUAGGGAGACAUUGCAUGGUGGGUAGUUUGACUGGGGUGGUCGCCUCCAAAAGUGUAACGGAGGCUUCUCAAGGUACCCUCAAGGCGUUUGGUAAUCGUCUGCAGAGUGCAAUGGCAUAAGGGUGCUUGACUGUGAGACCGACACGUCGAUCAGGUUGGAAACAAGAGCAUAGUGAUCCGGUGGUUCCGCAUGGAAGGGCCAUCGCU
rnacentral:rRNA from 1 species